CGUCGCUUUCUUCACCUACGGGAGAAACGUCAUCGUCAGGCUAAGCCAAUCAGAGUCAGAGGGGGGCGGGCAAUAUAUUUGGGUGCCCAGGUUUGUUUGAGUCGACAACGCAGUCACUGGCCGAGAGACAGACAAUGCAGCAUAAAUCUUCAUACAUUUAGGCCACAGCUCCUCCACUACCGCCACCCCCUCCUCCACCCUGUGGAAAUCAGCCUGGUCCUCCACCAUGCCCUGGACAUGCUGCAAUACCAUUUAUUUCUGGCCAAUGCCCUCCAGUCCAAGAAACGAGUCCUUCACCGGAGACUCUACAUCAUGCAGAGGAUGCACUUGCUUCACCACCGCUCCCAGAGCAAAAUGGACUUGAGUCUCCAUCAUCACAAGGACAAAAAGACAAUCCCUCUGAUAGUGAAGAGAAACGCGCUCCAGUGCAGGAAACUGCUCCACCGGUGACAGAGCAACAAGAUGAGGCAGCUGUUCAGAUGGACCAGGAUGAGACGAAGCCCUGAGCAACUUUACUUAAAAACAAAGGAAUCUACUUUUACCAGUACUUGAAAAUGCUGUGGUGAACUGCAAUGAAAUAGUGUAACAUGGUGUAACACGCUUCAGUCACCAUUAUCCUCAUUACUUACAGCUGAGAAUUGAGCUUUUGCCUAUAGAAAUGUCAGCCAUACACUUUAUAGUGAGUUUUUCAGAGAAACUCUGAACCAAACUAAGCCUAAAAACACAUAUAGCUGGGUGACAGAUUACACUUGGAUGUGUUGCUGCUGCUGCCGCUAUCACUGUUUCUGAAAACAUUUGAGGUGGAAAAAUAGGCUGUGCAGUAACAGAAUCUUGAUUCGUGAUCUCUGCUGAGUUGUUUGGUUCCAGAGCUCAUACUCAGGCCAAAAGUGAGGAUAUCUCUACAUUAUGUACAAAGUCGUGGUACACCUUUUUAUUUAUGGUAUUUUCUGUGAGAUUGGAGUACAUAAUUUGUAUGUACAGUUGCAAUGCCCGGGAUUUAAAAAAAAAAGUAUUUAAAUGCACAUUUAGACCAGUUUUUUAUUUUUUUAUUUUUUUACUUUCCAAGAUGUUUCCAAAAAUAAAACUCGAGCCUGCUAUAUUGUUAAAGUAUAAAAUGUCUGUAUGUAGGAUGUGACAAACAGUCUACAGCUAUGCUAGCAGCUCUGUGAAGCUCUACUUACACUGGUGCUUUGAGCAUCAUGCAAACAUAAGCAUGCUAACAAUGGCAAUGCUAAUGUUUAGUAGGUAUUAUGUUUACUAUUUUCUCCAUCUCAGUUAUGCAUUAUGAAAUUUGCAAAUUAGCAUCAAACAAUACUGCUGAGACUGAUGGGAAUGUUAUUAGUUUAGCAUAAGUAUUGGACAAAUUAAAUAUUUAACCUGCUGAUGGUGCUAAAUCUUACAAUUCAUCCUCUGGGAAGCAUGAAUCUGUUACAAAUUUCAGCAAUUUACCCAAUACACAAGUAAACUGGCAUUUGCUUAUUAACAGCUGAUUUGUCUCCAGUUUAUAGAAAUAAAGAAAGGCAUGGCACAGCAA